rnacentral:rRNA from 1 species
CAGUCGCCGCGGUAAUACGGAGGGGGCUAGCGUUGCUCGGAAUUACUGGGCGUAAAGCGCACGUAGGCGGCUUGGUAAGUUAGAGGUGAAAGCCCGGAGCUCAACUCCGGAAUUGCCUUUAAGACUGCCGAGCUAGUAGGUGAGAGAGGUAAGUGGAAUUCCGGGUGUAGAGGUGAAAUUCGUAGAUAUUCGGAAGAACACCAGUGGCGAAGGCGGCUUACUGGCUCAUUCUAGACGCUGAGGUGCGAAAGCGUGGGGAGCAAACAGGAUUAGAUACCCCGGUAGUCCCUGUCUCUUAUAA